rnacentral:rRNA from 1 species
AAUCAACGCUGGCGGCGUGCCUCAGACAUGCAAGUCGAACGCGAAAGUCCCCUUCGGGGGACAAGUAGAGUGGCGCACGGGUGAGUAACACGUAGGUAAUCUACCCUCGGAUGGGGAAUAACAACCGGAAACGGUUGCUAAUACCGCAUAAUGCAGCGGCACCUAAUGGUGACAGUUGUUAAAGCGGGGGAUCGAAAGACCUCGCGUCUGAAGAGGAGCCUGCGGCGGAUUAGCUAGNGGUAAGGUAAUGGCUUACCAAGGCGACGAUCCGUAGCCGGCCUGAGAGGGCGGUCGGCCACACUGACACUGACAUACGGGUCAGACUCCUACGGGAGGCAGCAGUCGGGAAUUUUGGGCAAUGGGCGAAAGCCUGACCCAGCAACGCCGCGUGAA